GUGGGGAAUUUUGGACAAUGGGCGCAAGCCUGAUCCAGCAAUGCCGCGUGCAGGAAGAAGGCCUUCGGGUUGUAAACUGCUUUUGUACGGAACGAAACGGUCCUGGCUAAUACCUGGGGCUAAUGACGGUACCGUAAGAAUAAGCACCGGCUAACUACGUGCCAGCAGCCGCGGUAAUACGUAGGGUGCGAGCGUUAAUCGGAAUUACUGGGCGUAAAGCGUGCGCAGGCGGUGCUGUAAGACAGGCGUGAAAUCCCCGGGCUCAACCUGGGAAUUGCGCUUGUGACUGCAGUGCUGGAGUGCGGCAGAGGGGGAUGGAAUUCCGCGUGUAGCAGUGAAAUGCGUAGAUAUGCGGAGGAACACCGAUGGCGAAGGCAAUCCCCUGGGCCUGCACUGACGCUCAUGCACGAAAGCGUGGGGAGCAAACAGGAUUAGAUACCCGUGUAGUCC
rnacentral:rRNA from 1 species